UACGUAGGGGCCAAGCGUUGUCCGGAUUUAUUGGGCGUAAAGAGCUCGUAAGCGGUUCGGCAAGUCAGCUGUGAAAUCUCCACGCUCAACGUGGAGGGGUCAGCUGAUACUGCUGUGACUCGAGUCCGGUAGGGGAGUGUGGAAUUCCCGGUGUAGCGGUGAAAUGCGCAGAUAUCGGGAGGAACACCAGUAGCGAAGGCGGCACUCUGGGCCGGUACUGACGCUGAGGAGCGAAAGCGUGGGGAGCGAACAGG
rnacentral:rRNA from 1 species